GUGAGUAUAGCUCAGUGGUAGAGCGUAUGCUUAGCAUACAUGAGGUCCUGGACUUCAUCCCCAGUACCUACA
rnacentral:tRNA from 1 species